UCCGCGUAGGCCUAUGGUAGAGGCAGAGCUGCGCGGCUGAGGUGCGCAGUGCCCAGGGAGAGCCUGGGAGCCGCGCGGUUAGCUGCUGGCGAGCCUUGUCUGGAUGGACUACGCCCCAGUGGUCGUCCGGCACACCUUGGGGCCUCGGGUGGGGCCCACAUGCCAGGUCUUAAUAGCAUUUUGUCUUCAUAAAAAUAUGGAAAACUUCACCAGAUUCAAUCCAUUGCAGCUUAAAAAAAAAAAAAAAAAGGUUUUAUGAUGAAAAUCAAUGAAAAUUCAAUUGAGGAGAUACUCUAUAAUUUUGAAUAAUUCUUCUAUUAAUGUGCAUAUAGGUUACUUCCAUCUUUUCCUAUUUUAAAAUUAAACUGUAAUGAAUGUCUUAAUAUAUAAUGUUUUUCUUCUUAUGGUUUAUUUUUCAGUACUUAUAU